rnacentral:rRNA from 1 species
AUACCGAUAGCGUUAAUUUAGAAUGAUCUAUACUAAGUAUCCUAAUUCUAAGUUAAUAAUUUUUGUUGGUAGGACAGUUUAGUUGGGGCGACUACCUUUGAAUAAGAAACGAAGGCGAGCUUAUGGUAUUAUUAAAAUCUCAUUAGCCUCACAGUGAGGGGGACACCCCUAGCUGGCACAAGGAACCACAUAGUAUAUACGUAAUGGGUUCCUAUGUGGGCGAUAGUGACCCGAUAUGAUUAUCCAAAAUAAAUAUCGAAAGCGGAUAAAAGCUACCGUAGGGAUAACAGCGUAA